rfam:Hepacivirus hominis isolate HK2, complete genome
AUGACCCCCGGCGUCGAUCCCGGAAUUUGGGUAAGGUCAUCGAUACCCUAACGUGUGGGUUCGCCGAUCUCAUGGGGUAC